ensembl:lincRNA
CGAGUGGUUAAAUCCCAGUUUUCCAGGUCUCUCCCUGCAUUUUCAGUCUCCCCGACUGCACCCCUGAGGAGGGUCCUGCGCUCACCACCGCCCGGACUGCCGGCCCCUGGCCGUGGAACUAAAGCGGCUUGAUGUGGACUGGGACACUAGAAGUCUCUCGUCCUUGCUCUGAUUUUUCACUAAGUACAAAGACUACGUUUUCGAAGAGCUGUCACAAGAGAAACUACCUCCGGGACUUCCCCACGCCCGCUGCCUACCUGCACAGCCACCCGUGGGGCUCGGAGGACAUGCACACGGAUGGAAGAUGUGCGCCGGGAUUUUGUAUACAUCAGUGAAUGCUUUGAUAUUUCCAUUUUAAAGGAGAUUUAAUGGCCAACUUUGCAAGACACUGUUUUGCCUGGAAUGGACAUUUAUUCACUAAGUGGAUUUUAAAAUCUCUGAACUAAAACAACUAUGUAUGGCUAAGCGACGCUCUUACUGCCCGUGGAUCUCCGGGCCAUGGGAAUCUCCGUGUGGCCAGAAUCUGCACGGGGAUUAGGUAACCAGCCAACUGCAAGGGGUUAGCAAGGAGGCACUGGGACGAUGGAGACUUGCCUGGAAAUCAUCUCAUUCACUUUGUGGGCCGCUUCCCACGUGGAGCAGGUGAGGACUUCUACUGAGUGCUUUGAGGGCUGCUUGAUGGGCCGUCAGCGCCAAAGGGAAAGGGAAGCCCCCAUGUUUCCAGCACUGCCAUGCUGCCAGGGUGCUGUGUGAACUGGGCCUGGGGCCUCCUGUGUCAGCUGAGUCAGAGGGUCUCGAUCCAGGUGGAUCUUGGUGGUAAGUCCCAAUCCCACAAGAACGCUUGCCUGACUCGCAGGGCUGAGAAAAAGACGGUCUUGGGACACUCAGUCUGGGCCCUCUCAGGAAGGUGGUAUCACAACCAAGCAACCCCUGCGCCGACCGACU